GUAGGGGGCAAACGUUUGCUCGGAAUUACUGGGCGUAAAGCGUGCGCAGGCGGUUGUGCAAGACAGAUGUGAAAUCCCCGGGCUCAACCUGGGAAUUGCAUUUGUGUCUGCACGGCUAGAGUGUGUCAGAGGGGGGUAGAAUUCCACGUGUAGCAGUGAAAUGCGUAGAGAUGUGGAGGAAUACCGACGGCGAAGGCAGCCCCCUGGGAUAACACUGACGCUCAUGCACGAAAGCGUGGGGGGAGCAAACAGGAUUAGAUACCCUGGUAGUCCACGCCCGUAAACGAUGAUCACUGGAUGUCGGUUCUGUUUACAGAAUCGGUUUCGUAGCUAACGCGUUAAGUGAUCCGUCUGGGAGUACGGUCGCAAGACUA
rnacentral:rRNA from 1 species